rnacentral:tRNA from 1 species
UGAGAACAAGCUGUUUUAGCAUUUCAUUUACACUGAAAAGGUACUUGUAUAUAAACAAGGUUCUUAA